AGAAAAUACUUUUAUUUGAUUGUGUAGUGCAAUCAAAUUGUAUUUUUAUUUUGUCUGGGGAAAAAAAUGUUAGGCUAUUUAUUUGGACAGAGAUGGCCUUUUCAGAAUAGUGCAGUUAAAUACUCUACCAGCAGGGGCUAAAGGGGUGCUCAAGAGCUAUACAAUUAUACCUCCUCUUCUUCUUCUUUUUUUUUUUUUUUAAUAAUAAUUGCCACUACUUUGCUACAGGCCGAGUAACUUACAAAAACGCGCCAACAUGGAUAACUUACUCAAACCUCGCUAGACUCAUCAACGUCAUUAAAGAUUGGACUUCAAUAGACAAAUGCCCUUGCUCUGCAGUCUUUGUGUGAGGAGAGGAAACACCCCCCCCCCCCCCAACCUCCAUCUCAGAGCCAGACGGUCUGUCUCCCUCAUUUGAAAGAAGCCAGUGGUGUUCUGACAGUCCAAGAAAAGUGAAAUUCAUAGAGCCCAUGCACAUAUCAUUAGAGCGUUAAAAGAAGCGAGCCUGGUGCCACGGGUCUCCUCCUGUGCCGCCUUUCCUCUAAACGUGUGACACUGGGUGGCUGAGAGCAUGAGAACGGAGCCUUUUGAAUAGCAGGAUCCUCAUACUUGGCUAGUAACCAUGGAAGCAGAUGCCUACUCUCUUUGCCCUCCUUACCUCCUUGCUCCCUCUUUGAAAAGAGGGCACGCCUCGCUUUCUUCUUCCUGACCGAACUUGCCUGGCCCUCAAAGGGAGCAAUUGAGCAGGUCACUGGUCUAGACUUGUUUGCAUGGUCCACGGAACAGCCUUGAGGUAACCCUUGCUCCCCGUGCGUCGCACCACCGCAGACUGCAGGGGGGGACAUCGGAGAUGUGAAUUUGAAAAGGAGCUCCGUCCGAUUUUGCCUUUGUGCCUUUUCGCUCAUCGAUCGGCUGAAUAUCGAACCCUCAGUCUGUGCAUGUGUGAAACGGAUAGCUUAGUAAGCAUUUUUUCUAAUCAAGCUUGCGUUGUGGGCCAACUCUCUCAUUUUUCUCUCUCUUACUUUAGCCGCUCUCGAACCCUCCCCUCUCUCUCUCUCUCUGUCUCUCUCUCUCUCUCUCUCUCUCUCUCUCUCUGUUUUCUUUCUCCGUUUCUCUUUUUCCUCUUUCUGCAUUUUCUCUCUUUCUGCUUUUCCUUCCUCUUCUACACUUCUCUUUUGAUAAUCUGGGACAUUUGGAUAAGCAUGUUGUGAUGCUUCUGAUCAAUGUCAAUUUUUUUUUUCAAUCUGUUAUUGAUCCUGAAGUGAUUUCAGCUUUGUGUUACCCGAGGAUUUUGCAUGCUGCUACAACUGUUUGCUUUUUCAAUUUCAACUGGGAUGACCACUAACCACAGAGGGACUUUUAAAACUAUUUAGACAAAAAAUACUGGCAAAUGCACUGCUUUUGUUUCCAUUCCAUCUUCCAAGAUGUAUGGAUGACAGUUUCCUCUUUUAAAAAAAAACAAAAACCAAACAAAUAGCAAUUUAAAAACUGAUGUCUCAUGAGGUGAGUAUAAUUAUGUUUUCGUAUAUUAGACUUGGUAUAAUCAGCCGAUGUAAAAGAUUAAAUAGAAACAAAAACUUGAUCUUUUCCUGCUGUUUCAUAAAUGUACACUAUAUCUACCUGAAACAUUUAUGUUGAAUAUGCUGCAUUAAAGCUGUGAGUCUUUGAAUUUAUCUGUA